rnacentral:rRNA from 1 species
AUUGAACGCUGGCGGCAUGCUUUACACAUGCAAGUCGAACGGCAGCGCGGGGGCAACCCUGGCGGCGAGUGGCGAACAGGUGAGUAAUGCAUCGGAACGUAUCCUGUAAUGGGGGAUAACGUAGCGAAAGUUACGCUAAUACCGCAUACGCUCGAGAGAGGAAAGUGGGGGAUCGCAAGACCUCACGUUAUAGGAGCGGCCGAUGUCCGAUUAGCUAGUUGGUGGGGUAAAGGCCUACCAAGGCGACGAUCGGUAGCUGGUCUGAGAGGAUGAUCAGCCACACUGGGACUGAGACACGACCCAGACUCCUACGGGAGGCAGCAGUGGGGAAUUUUGGACAAUGGGCGAAAGCCUGAUCCAGCCAUGCCGCGUGCGGGAAGAAGGCCUUCGGGUUGUAAACCGCUUUAGUCCGGGAAAAAGGGGUGCGAGGAUAAUACCCUCGUGCUUUGAUGGUACUGGAAGAAUAAGCACCGGCUAACUACAUGCCAGCAGCCGCGGUAAUGCGUAGGGUGCGAGCGUUAAUCGGAAUUACUGGGCGUAAAGCGUGCGCAGGCGGUCUUGUAAGACAGUCGUGAAAGCCCCGGGCUUAACCUGGGAACUGCGAUUGUGACUGCAAGGCUAGAGUGUGUCAGAGGGGGGUGGAAUUCCACGUGUAGCAGUGAAAUGCGUAGAGAUGUGGAGGAACACCGAUGGCGAAGGCAGCCCCCUGGGAUAACACUGACGCUCAUGCACGAAAGCGUGGGGAGCAAACAGGAUUAGAUACCCUGGUAGUCCACGCCCUAAACGAUGUCAACUGGUUGUUGGA